GAAUGCAUAAAUAUAUGAAGGAACACCAGUGGCGAAGGCGGCUACCUGAAMUGAUAUUGACGCUUAAGUACGAAAGCGUGGGGAGCAAAUAGGAUUAGAUACCCUAGUAGUCCACGCCGUAAACGAUCUAGWCUAGUUGUUGUUAUAAAACAGUGACGCAGCUAACGCAUUAAGUCUAGCGCCUGGGUAGUAUGCACRCAAGUGUGAAACUCAAAGGAAUUGACGGGGACCCGCACAAGUGGUGGAGCAUGUGGUUUAAUUYGACGAUACGCGAAGAACCUUACCUACGCUUGACAUACUUGGCAAAGCCAUAGAGAUAUGGUAGAGGCAAACCAAUGYACAGGUGGUGCAUGGUUGUCGUCAGCUCGUGUCGUGAGAUGUUCGGUUAAGUCCGGUAACGAGCGCAACCCCUUUCUUAUGUUACUAACAUUUAGUUGAGGACUCAUGAGAUACUGCCUGGGCAACCAGGAGGAAGGUGGGGAUGACGUCAAAUCAUCAUGCCCCUUAUGYGUAGGGCUACACACGUGCUACAAUGGCUAUUACAAAGAGUUGCGAUGUCGCGAGGCGGAGCUAAUCUCAAAAAAAUAGUCUCA
rnacentral:rRNA from 1 species